GGGCUCGUAGGUGGUUGAUCGCGUCGGAAGUGUAAUCUUGGGGCUUACCCUGAGCGUGCUUUCGAUACGGGUUGACUUGAGGAAGGUAGGGGAGAAUGGAAUUCCUGGUGGAGCGGUGGAAUGCGCAGAUAUCAGGAGGAACACCAGUGGCGAAGGCGGUUCUCUGGGCCUUUCCUGACGCUGAGGAGCGAAAGCGUGGGGAGCGAACAGGCUUAGAUACCCUGGUAGUCCACGCUGUAAACGGUGGGUACUAGGUGUGGGGUCCAUUCCACGGGUUCCGCGCCGUAGCUAACGCUUUAAGUACCCCGCCUGGGGAGUACGGCCGCAAGGCUAAAACUCAAAGGAAUUGACGGGGCCCCGCACAAGCGGCGGAGCAUGCGGAUUAAUUCGAUGCAACGCGUAGAACCUUACCUGGGUUUGACAUGGAUCGGGAGUGCUCAGAGAUGGGUGUGCCUCUUUUGGGGUCGGUUCACAGGUGGUGCAUGGCUGUCGUCAGCUCGUGUCGUGAGAUGUUGGGUUAAGUCCCGCAACGAGCGCAACCCUUGUUCACUGUUGCCAGCACGUUAUGGUGGGGACUCAGUGGAGACCGCCGGGGUCAACUCGGAGGAAGGUGGGGAUGACGUCAAGUCAUCAUGCCCCUUAUGUCCAGGGCUUCACGCAUGCUACAAUGGCUGGUACAGAGAGUGGCGAGCCUGUGAGGGUGAGCGAAUCUCGGAAAGCCGGUCUCAGUUCGGAUUGGGGUCUGCAACUCGACCUCAUGAAGUCGGAGUCGC
rnacentral:rRNA from 1 species